AUUGCAAAAAUAUUUAUUUAUACAUAUAUUGCAGUUGACGUCAUGCUCGUCUUGCACGCCACAUUGGUUGGCUGGUUGGUUGCGCUGCAUUAAUAGCGAAAAUUACAAAAAUAAAUUUGCAACAAAGUAAGAAAAAAAUAUAUGUAUGCGCAUACCAAAUGCAUAAGAAAGAUCGAAAAUUUGAAGCCGCAACCAAAACUUUCAUUGCAAUUGUGGCGCGCCGCCUGUCAACGUCAUUCAUUAAAGGCAAACCGAGCCGGAGCAGAAGAUGGAAACAAUGGGAGUGCAGAGCAACGAACAUCUUCAAGGGGCAAUCGAGUUGCAAUGGCUGCGAAGACAUCAGCAAGUGAGCAGAUGCGCUGCACUUUUAAAGAUCUACGCAAUGCAUAGACUAAGCGAGCGAACGAGAAGAAAAUCGACUGAAAAUUCUGGCUAAAAAUACAUCAGCGCGCGCACUGACAAAGGUUUGGAGCAGAAGAGGAAAUAUUUGGCCAUUAAGUGUGACGAAGAAAAUACACUGCUGCCAGCGGACAUGGCAGGAGGCAGUUCCCUAAGCGGCUACGUUGAUAGACAACUUACAUAUGAAGUGCAUUUGCAUUAAGUCGGCUAAAAAGGGAUAAAAGUCGGUGGAGAGAGCGGCGAGGUGCAAAAAGAGGAAACUAUUUGUUGUGUGGAAUAGACAGGGCGCGCUAGUGGAGGCACUAUAGCCAAGUAACUAAUUGUUGCGAAUCGAUAAAAGUGAUUGCAAGCAGAGUUAAAAUUUUGCAAUGCUCUUUGGCUGCGGUUUAAUUUAAAGCCUUUUACUGUUUGUAUGUUUGUUUUAACUAAUUGAGAAUUGAGAAAAUGAAAUAAAUUUAU